rfam:Otolemur garnettii contig171983, whole genome shotgun sequence.
AAGAUGAUACUUUCAGUAUAAUUUCUGUAGUUGAUUGCUAGAGAAGUUUCCCUGGAUGUGUAAAGCCCUGGAACUUGCGAGAAGAGGCCAUGGCAUUUUCUCCUGAGCGUGAAGCUGGGUCUUGGCAUUGCUUUGUUGCCAUUUUCCAUUGAUGAUCAUUCCUACUCUUCCUUCAGGAAAGUAAGAGGGAGAAAACACAGACUGAGUGCU